rnacentral:lncRNA from 1 species
UUGGCACUCAAGUUCAUACUCAAAACAUAUUAAUUAGUAUUAAUGUUAUAUGAGUAGAACUAACAAUAUGAGAUGUAUGUGAUUUUUCAUUGCAUAUGGAAAGCAUAUAGUUAUUUCUGCUCUACAGAUGAGCUUGGACCUUAAGCUUCCUAACAUAGGAAAUAAAUUAGUGGUUGGCCCAAAAGGGAAUAUGAAGCGCUUAAACAGAAAUUAAAGAACAUGUGUUUUUGGCUGGGCAAGAAAUCACACCCCAUGCUGAAAGUUUCAAACAGCAUCUGCCAAUGUGGUACUAGUGGAAGUAAAUCCAGAUAAAGGAAGAAGAUAGGUUUCAUCUCGUGCCAAUUACUCUUAGUGACUGCCUGGUAUACUGUAUAAGAUGGCUUGUGAGAACAUUUUGGGAAAAGAAUGACUGCCAUGGCAAGGGAAAUAUGAGAGAUGACACAAGUGCUUAUAUUUGCCAUCUUGGAUUUAGAUAUAAAAGAAAAGGAGGCGUGUUUUAGGAAUAGGGAGUGACCUUGACAAUUGGCUAAUAUAUACUAUUAAGACAGUUGAGAGUAAAAAUUAGUAGAUUUAAAUGAAAUAUUCCAUUAAGCCUGUUAGUAAACCAAUAUGUGUAUAUGUCUGUUCUAGCAUUUGCCUCAUUAUAGUAACUCCUUUACUUAUGUGUUCCUCUCUCUAAUUGAACUAUAUGUUUCUAGAGGGAAUAUCCACUGUUUUCCUUUGUGCUUUACCAAGUGCCAGGUAUGUAGUAGGUGUAUAAUCAAUGUUUGAGCUAAUUCAGCCAUUUCUAAAUUUUGAUUAGGUUUGGGUUAAAAGGCCUACUCUAUAAAACUCAUCCCAUGUCUUUGUCCAUGUUUAGGCCUCCUGCUCUGCUUUGUUUCCUAUUAAAACUAUUUUUGGGAAAUUGCCAUCUUGUAUUAACCAAGUAAGGAUUACCCCGAGGUCGCCACACUUAGAGGAAGUCCAGGCAAGAAGGAGAGACCCGGUGAAAGUGUUCCAAUUGAUACCUCUGUUGACAUCACAACUGACAAAUAGCAUCAGCCACCAGACAAAUGAGAGAAGACAUCUCCAGAUGAUGCCAGCUCCCAGCCCUUGAGUCACCCCUAGCCAUUAUGUCUUCCCAACUGAGGCCCCAGACUAUGAGCACAAACAAGGUAUUUGAAUUAUGCCUUGUCCAAAUUCCUGAUCCACAGAAUCUGUGAGCAUAAUAAAAUGCUUCUUUAAGCUACUGAUUUGGAUGUAAUUUGUUACAAGACAAUAGUCAGUGCAACAAUAGCAUCCACAACUCUUUCAAAGGCAUUCUCUGUAGUCUUCUUGAACAAUGAAGAUUGAACAAUGUUGGCAGAAUCAAUUUCAUAGUCCUUAGGAUGUAUUGCUUAGUGGUCUAGCACCUCAAUCAGACAUUAUUCUUAGGCUUUGGGCCACUGGUGAAACUUAAAGACAAAAGAGCCCCAUUUUAAUAUCUGACUAUUUCACAGCCAGGAUGGAUCAAGCAGAAAUGCCACUUCUUCCAUACCGGGG